rnacentral:rRNA from 1 species
UACGGGGGGGGCAAGCGUUGUUCGGAAUUACUGGGCGUAAAGGGCUCGUAGGUGGCCAACUAAGUCAGACGUGAAAUCCCUCGGCUUAACCGGGGAACUGCGUCUGAGACUGGAUGGCUUGAGUGUGGGAGAGGGAUGCGGAAUUCCAGGUGUAGCGGUGAAAUGCGUAGAUAUCUGGAGGAACACCGGUGGCGAAGGCGGCAUCCUGGACCAUAACUGACACUGAUAAGCGAAAGCCAGGGGAGCAAACGGG